GCAGUGGUGGGUCAGUGGUAGAAUUCUCCCCUUCCAUGUAUAAGACCUGGGUUCGAUUCCCAGCCAAUGCA
rnacentral:tRNA from 1 species